UAUACACGCAUACCUACAAACACACCAGUAGCUUUUGUGUAUAUGUAUAUAUAUAUAUAUAUAUAUAUAUAUAUAUAUAUAUAUACACAAAAGCUACUGGUGUGUUUGUAUGGUAUGUAUGUAUG